GCCCGGGUGGCGGAACAGGCAGACGCACAGGACUUAAAAUCCUGCGGUGUAACAACCGUGCCGGUUCGACCCCGGCUCCGGGCACCA
rnacentral:tRNA from 1 species